rnacentral:rRNA from 1 species
UUCCGGUUGAUCCUGCCGGACCCGACUGCUAUCAGAGUGGGACUAAGCCAUGCGAGUCGACGUAGCAAUGCGUGGCGAACGGCUCAGUAACACGUAGUCAACAUGCCCAGGGGACGUGGAUAACCUCGGGAAACUGAGAAUAAACCACGAUAGGUCACGAUUUCUGGAAUGGAUCAUGGCCUAAAUCUACAUGGCCCCUGGAUUGGACUGCGGCCGAUCAGGCAGUUGGUGAGGUAAUGGCCCACCAAACCUAUAACCGGUACGGGCUCUGAGAGGAGAAGCCCGGAGAUGGGCACUGAGACAAGGGCCCAGGCCCUAUGGGGCGCAGCAGGCGCGAAACCUCUGCAAUAGGCGAAAGCCUGACAGGGUUACUCUGAGUGAUUUCCGCUAAGGGGAUCUUUUGGCACCUCUAAAAAUGGUGCAGAAUAAGGGGUGGGCAAGUCUGGUGUCAGCCGCCGCGGUAAUACCAGCACCCCGAGUGGUCGGGACGAUUAUUGGGCCUAAAGCAUCCGUAGCCGGUUCUGCAAGUCUUCCGUUAAAUCCAGCCGCUCAACGGAUGGGCCGCGGAGGAUACUACAGGACUAGGAGGCGGGAGAGGCAAGCGGUACUCAGUGGGUAGGGGUAAAAUCCUUUGAUCCAUUGAAGACCACCAGUGGCGAAGGCGGCUUGCCAGAACGCGCUCGACGGUGAGGGAUGAAAGCUGGGGGAGCAAACCGGAUUAGAUACCCGGGUAGUCCCAG